AACGAACGCUGGCGGCAUGCCUAACACAUGCAAGUCGAACGAGACCUUCGGGUCUAGUGGCGCACGGGUGCGUAACGCGUGGGAAUCUGCCCUUGGGUUCGGAAUAACUCAGAGAAAUUUGAGCUAAUACCGGAUGAUGACGUAAGUCCAAAGAUUUAUCGCCCAAGGAUGAGCCCGCGUAAGAUUAGCUAGUUGGUGGGGUAAAGGCCUACCAAGGCGACGAUCUUUAGCUGGUCUGAGAGGAUGAUCAGCCACACUGGGACUGAGACACGGCCCAGACUCCUACGGGAGGCAGCAGUGGGGAAUAUUGGACAAUGGGCGAAAGCCUGAUCCAGCAAUGCCGCGUGAGUGAUGAAGGCCUUAGGGUUGUAAAGCUCUUUUACCAGGGAUGAUAAUGACAGUACCUGGAGAAUAAGCUCCGGCUAACUCCGUGCCAGCCGCCGCCGUAA
rnacentral:rRNA from 1 species